rnacentral:lncRNA from 1 species
CGGCAUGGAUGUGUUCCGACCGAGCACUACGGGUCUGGAUGGAGAGCAGGUUCUGUCAUCCAUCCUGAUGCUCCUGUGAAAAAACGUAUGAUCUGGUCCUCCGAAGAGUUCCGCUCCCUCGUUCCUCACCGUGACCUUCAUUGUGGACAGCUGGGGUGGGAUGCUGACUAAAGAUAAGAGAACUGCGGGAUUCAUCUGCAUCUGCAGGAGCCUAAAUAUCCAUGUAAUUCAGGGAUAGUAUUAAAAAUAAAACUUCCUACUUUUCCUAUUUAUUAUCUUAU